rnacentral:pre_miRNA from 1 species
ACGGAUUAUGUUGAUCCGUAUGAGUCGUACGAAUUAACUUGAUCCGUACGACUCAUAUGAAUCAAUUUGAU